rnacentral:rRNA from 1 species
UCGGGAAUUUUGGGCAAUGGGCGAAAGCCUGACCCAGCAACGCCGCGUGAAGGAUGAAGUAUUUCGGUAUGUAAACUUCGAAAGAAUAGGAAGAAUAAAUGACGGUACUAUUUAUAAGGUCCGGCUAACUACGUGCCAGCAGCCGCGGUAAUACGUAGGGACCAAGCGUUGUUCGGAUUUACUGGGCGUAAAGGGCGCGUAGGCGGUGUGUCAAGUCAGUUGUGAAAUCUCCGAGCUUAACUCGGAACGGUCAACUGAUACUGUCACACUAGAGUACAGAAGGGGCAAUCGGAAUUCUUGGUGUAGCGGUGAAAUGCGUAGAUAUCAAGAGGAACACCUGAGGCGAAGGCGGGUUGCUGGGCUGAUACUGACGCUGAGGCGCGAAAGCUAGGGUAGCAAACGGGAUUAGAUACCCAUGUAGUCCCUGAGCGGGCUGGCAAGGCGCAU